rnacentral:rRNA from 1 species
CCUACGGGAGGCAGCAGUGAGGAAUAUUGGUCAAUGGCCGGAAGGCUGAACCAGCCAUGCCGCGUGAAGGUCAGUGCCCUAUGGGCGUUAAACUUCUUUUGUGCGGGAGCAAUAAUGGUCACGUGUGGCCAGACGAGAGUACCGUACGAAUAAGCAUCGGCUAACUCCGUGCCAGCAGCCGCGGUAAUACGGGGGAUGCAAGCGUUAUCCGGAUUUAUUGGGUUUAAAGGGUGCGUACGCUGUGAGGUAAGUCAGCGGUGAAAUGCCCCCGCUCAACGGGGUGAAGUGCCAUUGAUACUGCCUGGCUGGAAUGCGGAUGCCGUGGGAGGAAUGUGUGGUGUAGCGGUGAAAUGCAUAGAUAUCACACAGAACACCGAUUGCGAAGGCAUCUCACGAAGCCGCGAUUGACGCUGAUGCACGAAAGCGUGGGUAUCAAACAGGAUUAGAUACCCGAGUAGUC